rnacentral:rRNA from 1 species
UACGGGGGGAGCAAGCGUUGUUCGGAUUUACUGGGCGUAAAGGGCUCGUAGGCGGCCAACUAAGUCAGACGUGAAAUCCCUCAGCUUAACUGGGGAACUGCGUCUGAUACUGGAUGGCUUGGAUUCGGGAGAGGAAUGCGGAAUUCCAGGUGUAGCGGUGAAAUGCGUAGAUAUCUGGAGGAACACCGGUGGCGAAGGCGGCUCUCUGGACCGGAUCUGACGCUGAGGCGCGAAAAGCGUGGGGAGCAAACAGGG